rnacentral:rRNA from 1 species
AUUGAAUGCUGGCGGCAGGCAUAACACAUGCAAGUCGAACGAGUGGCGGACGGGUGAGUAAUGUCUGGGAAACUGCCCGAUGGAGGGGGAUAACUACUGGAAACGGUAGCUAAUACCGCAUACCAUCGGAUGUGCCCAGAUGGGAUUAGCUAGUAGGUGGGGUAACGGCUCACCUAGGCGACGAUCCCUAGCUGGGCUGAGAGGAUGACCGGCGAAACUGUAACUGAGACACGGUCCAGACUCCGACGUGAGGCAGCAGUGGGGAAUAUGGCACAAUGGGCGAAAGCCUGAUGCAGCAAUGCCGCGUGUAUGAAGAGGGCCUUCGGGUUGUAAAUUACUUUCAGCGAGGAGGCGUUACUCGCAGAAGAAGCACCGGCUAACUCCGUGCCAGCCGCCGCGGUAAUAC